AAUCAGUUAUGGUUCCUUAGAUCGUUCAUACUACAUGGAUAACUGUGGUAAUUCUAGAGCUAAUACAUGCAAAAAGCUCCGACCGUAUGGGAAGAGCGCUUUUAUUAGACCAAAACCAAUGGGGUCGCAAGAUCCCUUUGUAUGGUGACUCUGGAUAACUUUGUGCUGAUCGCAUGGCCUAGAGCCGGCGACGUAUCUUUCAAGUGUCUGCCCUAUCAACUUUCGAUGGUAAGCGAUUUGCCUACCAUGGUUGUAACGGGUAACGGGGAAUCAGGGUUCGAUUCCGGAGAGGGAGCAUGAGAAAUGGCUACCACAUCUACGGAAGGCAGCAGGCGCGCAAAUUACCCACUCCUAGAACGGGGAGGUAGUGACGAAAAAUAACAAUACCGGACUCAAUGAGGCUCGGUAAUUGAAAUGAGUACAGUUUAAAACCCUUAACGAGGAUCUAUUGGAGGGCAAGUCUGGUGCCAGCAGCCGCGGUAAUUCCAGCUCCAAUAGCGUAUAUUAAAGUUGUUGCAGUUAAAAAGCUCGUAGUUGGAUCUCGGGUACUAGCAUGUGGUACGCUUAACUGCUGUUACUACAUGUCUGGUCCUAAUCAACCGGUUGGCCGUUGAUGCCCUUUAUUGGGUGUUUUCGGUAGCCGGUACGUUUACUUUGAGAAAAUUAGAGUGCUUAAAGCAGGCCUUACGCCUGAAUAAUGUUGCAUGGAAUAAUAGAAUAGGACCUCGGUUCUAUUUUGUUGGUUUUGUAGAGCAUUGAGGUAAUGAUUAAUAGGGACAGACGGGGGCAUUCGUAUUGCGGUGUUAGAGGUGAAAUUCUUGGAUCGCCGC
rnacentral:rRNA from 1 species